CGUUUGAAACACAGUUUCAAUUUUAAAAAAGUGAAAAAUUUCAAAAUUUUAGCCCCUCUCUAUAAUUUUAUUUGUUCAAAACUGAGGUAAUUGAAACAGUUAUAAACUUGAGUGGCGUUCAAUAUUUUCAAUGUAUCCUACUUGUUAAUAAUCAAGAAAAAAAAUUAUUACUCUGGAACUUCAUUACUUUGUAUUGGUAUUGACUGAGAAACCAAUAAUAAUUUGUAUUCAAAUACUAAGUUACAACUAACAACAAGAAAGUCAUUAAGUAAGUAGCAUCCCAUUACUUAAUAAUUGAGAAACCAGAAAAUAAGAUUAGAAAAAUAAGAAUUGAAAGCAAGAUUUUGUAUUCAAAAGUACUAACUUCGUCUAAAUAUAACCUCUGAACUCAUCAAUAGAAAACCUUAACAACUGAUAUAUUGGAAGAUGAUUGUAUACGAAAGAAAUUGAACAAACUGUGGUAAAUUUAAUAUAUUGAAAGGAUAACUGGGUGAUGAACAACAAGUGAAAAAGAGGAAAGCAACAUCAAAAGUUUGAAAGAGUUCAAGUUCAUUCAUCAACCACAAAAUUUCUUCUAAUCAAAAUUCAUACUAAUUUGGUAUUAAGUCAAUAUUGAAAGUUUGAAUAAAAAACUGGACACUUGAAUUGAUAAGUAUACAAAAUUUGAAAUUUAUAGCCAUAAGAACAAUAAAUAAUUAUUACACAAUCGAGAAUAGUUCUUGAUAGAUGGAUAACCAUACUAUCAAAUUAUAAGGAUCAUUCAAUAGAUCCCUAGAUAAAAACGUUUUGAAGAAGGACGACAGACGACAAUACACGGCUAUUAAAAAAUUAUAACUCUAAAAAUUUCCCUCAAUUUUGAUAUUUUUCCCUGAAAUUCAACAAAUUGAAUUUGAAACUAUGGAAGCGUUAAUACAAACCAUCAAACGCCUCCACGACGUCCACUGUUUGCUGAGCAGUGUCGUGUCAACAAAAGAAGAUGGCGACCACAACAACAACAUAUUCCUAACAAACAACAACAACAAUUACGAUCCCAACAACAUCAACAACGACCCGGAUUACCCCUUAAUGGCGUCGGCUCAAUUUCUGCCACAAAUCGUUAUUUUAGGCGCCCAAGGCGCUGGCAAAUCUAGCAUAAUCGAGCGCCUGGUAGGCAGGCGGUUUCUGCCUAGGGGAACAGGAGGUGCAGCUACCAGGCGCCCACUGGUUGUGCAGUUUGUGUUCUGCACGAAGAAAGAGUUGGCUCGUAUGGCGGGUGAAACGGGCGCUCAGAAGUUGGAGGCAUGGGGUGUGUUUCAACAUAAGCCUGAGCAGAGGUUUUUCAAAUUUGAAGACAUUAAGCAAGAAAUCCAACAAGAAACAAACCGUCUGGCAGGCGAAAACCACGGUAUCUGCCCGGACCCCAUACAUCUCAAAAUCUACUCAAGCAGCGUAAACUUCACAAUAGUAGACCUACCCGGCCUUAUUGAAGCACCCUCACGUGACCAACAACACGCCACCAAAAUCAAAAACAUCGUCCUAAACUAUAUUUCAGUCCCUAAUAACAUUAUAUUAAACGUGGUAGCUGCUAACACAGAUUAUACGAAUAGUGAGAGUUCGAAAUUGGCUCAUCAAGUCGAUCCUGAAGGUAUGAGAACGUUAUUAGUUGUCACAAAACUGGAUCUGUUAGAUUUGGGGGUGGAUGCUACAGAGGUGCUGACAGGGAAAAUUUUGAAAAUUCGGUUGGGGAUUGUAGGGGUGGUGAACAUCCCCUCAAGGGGCAGUCAAAAGUUGUCAAUUGCCCAAGCAGUUGAUGAGGAGGAGUUGUUUUUUAGGUGUAACUACCCCAAGUUGGUGGGGUCACACGGGGUGGUGAGUUUGUCCAAAGUUUUACAAAAUCUUCUGUUGGAGAAUAUUCGGCUCACCACGCCAGAUUUGAGGAGAAAGGUAUUGGGAAAGAUUAACAGGCUACAAAUGGUGUUGGAUUCCUAUGGUGCACCGAUUUUAGACAAAGGGCAAACUUUGUUACAGUUAAUCAACGAUUUCACCUCGGAGUAUUGUUCCUUGAUAGUGGGUAACUUCCAUGAUUUGGACACGGGGGAGCUGUGUUGCGGGGCAAGGAUCGCGUACAUUUUCCAGGAGAGUUUUGGGAACGCAUUGAACGCCAUUGAUCCCCUGGCGGGGUGACUAAGGUGGCGAUGUUGACUGCCAUAAGGAAUGCCUCGGGCACGAGGCCUGGGCUGUUUGUGCCUGAGGUGUCGUUCGAGUUGCUGGUCAAGAAGCAGAUUGCCAAACUGGAGGAGCCAAGCAUCAGGUGCGCGGACCUUGUGCAUGAGGAGUUGGAGAAUCUCGUCAAGGUGCGAGCACAAAACUGCAACCCUCUCCUGAAACGCUUCCCAGCCCUCCACAAACGGAUCACCGACACAUGUCUGCAGAUCAUCAAAACCCAACUGCCCGUCACCCACCACAUGAUACGGCAGACUGUCGCCAUACAGCUGGCCUACAUCAACACCAACCAUCCCGACUUCAUCCGGGAGGUACAUGGCGUGAACAAUCCCCCAGAAGCUUCCUGCAGGGUGCAGGAGUCUGUGACGUCACUGACGGGAGCGUCUUGGGAGGACAGGACUGGACGGUUACAGGAAGCCGCUCACACACACAGCCACGAAUCCCUGAAACCCAACAACUCACUCACCAACUCGCAGGAUCGCGAGAGUCACGACAGCAUAGUGAUCGAGCACCUCAUCAAGACCUACUUCAACAUAGUUCGCAAAACGGUGCAAGACAAUGUCCCCAAAAUAAUCAUGCAUAGCAUGGUGAACCACGUGACUGAGAACCUUCAACAACUGCUGGUCAGCCAACUUUACACUCCAGAGUUGAUCGGAGAUUUACUGACUGAGAGUGAAGAGGUGACCAAAUUCAGGAAGGAUAUUGAAGAGAGGAUCAGCUGUUUGAGAAGUGCAGCCGAUAUCCUGCAGAGCCUUAAGGAUCCAACGGGAUCCCGUGAGGGACUAUCAAGGAUGUUGGUCCUUUGAACAUCCUGGGUGGUCAUGGUCAAGCCACAAGAAGCGUUUUUAGGUGUUUUCAGACUUGUUGGCAGGACAAGAGGCUCCCCGAUAGGUUAAUUUUAUCAGUUGAUUCCCGAACGCCAUCACAAUCAGCAAAUCGGGAGCUUCCUGAUCUGCUUGGCCAAUCAGAGAGCGUUUUUAAACAAGAUGGCAAGGGAAGAAGCUCUCCGAUUGGCUGAUUGAGUUUGCGUUCGAGAAUCAGCUGAUAACUAGCCAAUCGGAGAGCUUCCUGCUCUGCUCGGCCAAUCAGAGAGCGUUUUCAGAUGAGUCGGUAGGGCAGGAAGCUCUUCGAUUGGCUGAUUAAGUUGGCGUUCGAGAAUCAGCUGAUAACCAGCCAAUCGGAGAGCUUCCUGCUCUCUGCCAAUCAGCCAAUCAGAGAGCGUUUUUAAACAAGUCGGUAGAGCAGGCUGCUCUCCGAUUGGCUGAUUGAGUUGGCGUUCGAGAAUCAGCUGAUAACCAGUCAAUGGGAGAGCUUCUAGCCUUGACUACUCUUCUAAAAACGCCUGAAAAACGCUUGAUGUGGCUUAGCCCUCAAAGCUGGAUUCCCACACAUCAGUGUCAGUGAAAGUGAGCGGCACAGUGAAAAUAUUAUUCCCAUAGGUUCUAAAGGGACUAUUCAUACUAGCUCGGUCGUGUUGAGUGUAAAUAGUCCCAUUAAAACUGAUGGAAAUUAUAUUUUCACUGUGCCGCUCACUUCCACUGUCACUAUAUAUUCACAGCUCACUUUUACUGAUACUAAUAUGAGGGAAUCCAGCUGUUGAUAGAAAAAGAUGGGAUAUGGGUAAUGGAUAGUGUUGAAAGAAGAGAGGCGAAAAGGCUGUAUCUGCUAUGUAAACAUGAAAUUAUGUGGGAAUUCGUUUGGUGAAACAAGAGUGGAAGACAAUAAUUGUAGAUAAUCUCAAAAUUUAUGUUCUUGUCUAAAUUGAGAUUAUUUGAUACAACCAACUGAAAUACAUACUUGUGGAAGAAUUAUAAGAGAUUUAAUUAUUAUAUGGGAUUCAAAAAUGA
rnacentral:misc_RNA from 1 species